rnacentral:rRNA from 1 species
CCACCACCAAAGCAUUCUCUGGUGUUGAAGGCCCUGCAAAGCAGCAUCGCGGUGGCGGAGCGUCGUUUGCGACGCCCAACACACAAAACAAGCGGUGAGUGCUUUGGGGUGGGGUGACUGCGUACCUUUUGUAUAAUGGGUCAGCGACUUAUAUUCUGUAGCAAGGUUAACCGAAUAGGGGAGCCGGAGGGAAACCGAGUCUUAAUUGGGCGUUAAGUUGCAGGGUAUAGACCCGAAACCCGGUGAUCUAGCCAUGGGCAGGUUGAAGGUUGGGUAACACUAACUGGAGGACCGAACCGACUAAUGUUGAAAAAUUAGCGGAUGACCUGUGGCUGGGGGUGAAAGGCCAAUCAAACCGGGAGAUAGCUGGUUCUCCCCGAAAGCUAUUUAGGUAGCGCCUCGUGAACUCAUCUCCGGGGGUAGAGCACUGUUUCGGCUAGGGGGCCAUCCCGGCUUACCAACCCGAUGCAAACUGCGAAUACCGGAGAAUGUUAUCACGGGAGACACACGGCGGGUGCUAACGUCCGUCGUGAAGAGGGAAACAACCCAGACCGCCAGCUAAGGUCCCAAAGUCAUGGUUAAGUGGGAAACGAUGUGGGAAGGCCCAGACAGCCAGGAUGUUGGCUUAGAAGCAGCCAUCAUUUAAAGAAAGCGUAAUAGCUCACUGGUCGAGUCGGCCUGCGCGGAAGAUGUAACGGGGCUAAACCAUGCACCGAAGCUGCGGCAGCGAACGUAUCACCCAAGACAACUUUGCGGAGUUGACGAUUGACGGAGCGAAGCGACGUCAAAGCGUUCAUUAAAGUCGAGUUGGCUUAGGGAUACGUUCGUUGGGUAGGGGAGCGUUCUGUAAGCCAGUGAAGGUGUGUCGUGAGGCAUGCUGGAGGUAUCAGAAGUGCGAAUGCUGACAUAAGUAACGAUAAAGCGGGUGAAAAGCCCGCUCGCCGGAAGACCAAGGGUUCCUGUCCAACGUUAAUCGGGGCAGGGUGAGUCGACCCCUAAGGCGAGGCCGAAAGGCGUAGUCGAUGGGAAACGGGUUAAUAUUCCCGUACUUGGUGUUACUGCGAAGGGGGGACGGAGAAGGCUAUGUUGGCCGGGCGACGGUUGUCCCGGUUUAAGCGUGUAGGCUGGUUUUCCAGGCAAAUCCGGAAAAUCAAGGCUGAGGCGUGA